CGCGGGGUGGAGCAGUUGGCAGCUCGUCGGGCUCAUAACCCGGAGGUCGCAGGUUCAAAUCCUGUCCCCGCAA
rnacentral:tRNA from 1 species